UACAGAGGGGGCAAGCGUUGUUCGGAAUUACUGGGCGUAAAGGGCGCGUAGGCGGCCUGUUAAGUCGAACGUGAAAUCCCCGGGCUCAACCCGGGAACUGCGUCCGAUACUGGCAGGCUUGAAUUCGGGAGAGGGAUGCGGAAUUCCAGGUGUAGCGGUGAAAUGCGUAGAUAUCUGGAGGAACACCGGUGGCGAAGGCGGCAUCCUGGACCGAAAUUGACGCUGAGGCGCGAAAGCCAGGGGAGCAAACGGG
rnacentral:rRNA from 1 species